CAAUAGCGUAUAUUAACGUUGUUGCAGUUAAAAAGCUCGUAGUUGGAUUUCUGGAGGGAGCGUCGGCCCGUAUUUACGAGUGCGUGACGUCUCUGUCCAUCCUUGCGGGAAGGCACGGCAUUGAUUUGUUGUGUCGGAUCGCAUCAUUUACUGUGAAAAAAUUAGAGUGUUCAAAGCAGGCUUUCGCUUGAAUACAUUAGCAUGGAAUAAUAAGAUAGGACUUUGGCGCUAUUUUGUUGGUUGAGCCUAAAGUAAUGAUUAAUAGGGAUAGUUGGGGGCACCUGUAUUGCGUUGUCAGAGGUGAAAUUCUUGGAUUUACGCAAGACAAACAGCUGCGAAAGCGUCUGCCAAGGAUGUUUUCAUUAA
rnacentral:rRNA from 1 species